GCCUGAACUCCACUGAUGGUCAGAGUGAAGUCUGAACGGGAUCCACUGCCUUUGAAGCGACCAGUGGGUCGAGUGCCUCCGUCGCUGAUUGUUGUACCCCCCUCCAGUGAAGAGCUGCAGCAGGGGAAGGCCACCCUCAUGUGUCUGGCCAACAAGGGCUUCCCCUCAGACUGGAGUCUGUCCUGGAAGGUGGACGACAGCAGCAGCAGCAGCAGCAGCUGGGAGCAGAGCAGGAGCCCCGGGGUGCUGCAGAAGGACGGCCUCUACAGCUGGAGCAGCACCCUGAGGCUCCCUGCAGACCAGUGGAGGAAGGUGGGCUCUGUGACCUGUGAGGCCUCCAAGGGCUCCCAGCCUGCAGUCACACAGACGCUGACCAGAGACCAGUGUUCCCAGUCCUGAGCUCGUUAACUACAUUAAUGUCUGC